GAUCUCUGGGAGAGCUGGUGGAGGAGCAGGGGCUGCUGCAGGAACUUCACCUGGCCCUGGAUCGGUCAGCAAGGCAGCCUCCAGUCCUGGUGGUGUGCUGGGCAGUGGGCAUGUCAUCGUCCAGUAUGGGGAGGCCCCCGUGGAGGAGAACAAUCCUAGCCUGCCCUCCGUGUGAAGUCUCCUCUCAACCAGAGGCCACGUUGAAGAGGACAGCACAGAUUCCACACGUUCAUCCUGCAGGCGUCCCAGAGAUUAAGAGCUCCGAAACCGUCCUCUUCAGCUUGAAUCAGUGAGAGCAACCCGCACAGUACUUGGUGUCUCCCCAAAGUGCCAUACUCCAUCCUGUCAUUACAUUUGUAUUGUCCAGGGACUUCCCUGGCAGUCCAGUGGUUAAGACUCUGCAUUUCCACUGCAGGGGGCCCAGGUUCAAUCCCUAGUCAGGGAACUAAGAUACCACAUCCUGCAAUGCUGCACAGAGCAGUCCAAAGAUUUUUAAAAUUUGUAUUGUCCUGGAAAUUGGCAGUUUCCCAUUUCAUAUUUGCUAAUGGGACUUGGACUGUGAAGCAAGUUGAGUGCCAAAGAAUUGAUGCUUUUGAACUGUGGUGUUGGAGAAGACUCUUGAGAGUCCCUUGGACUGCAAGGAGAUCCAACCAGUCCAUUCUAAAGGAGAUCAGUCCUGGGUGUUCUUUGGAAGGAAUGAUGCUAAAGCUGAAACUCCAAUACUUUGGCCACCUCAUGCGAAGAG
ensembl:lncRNA